AAACGUUUGCCCCGGGUCCGCGACGGCUGUACGGGGCGGCCGGGCCCGGGGCCGGCUUGCUGCGCAGAGCCACCGGCGGCUCCUGUUUCGCCGGACUUGAAUCUUUUGCCUGGCCGCAACCCGCCAGCCUGCAAUCGGUGGAGACACAGAGCACCAGCUCAGAGGAGAUGGUGCCCAGCUCGCCCUCGCCCCCUCCGCCUCCUCGGGUCUACAAGCCAUGCUUCGUGUGCAAUGACAAGUCCUCUGGCUACCACUAUGGGGUCAGCUCUUGUGAAGGCUGCAAGGUGUGUACGUGGUGGGGGUGGGCAGACGGGGGAUCCAGUUACCCUAGUAAGAUGAGAGACCAGGCACACAGAUGCUGUGUGUGAGCAGCACUGCUUUGCACAUAGGUGGUUAAUAGAUUAGGUCAGGCCUGGGGCAACCUGCAAGGCCAGUGAGAGGCUGGUACUCCCAGCAUUGUGCUUCAGAGGCCCUCUCUCUUUCCCUCAACUCCAGGGCUUCUUUCGCCGAAGCAUCCAGAAGAACAUGGUGUACACGUGUCACCGCGACAAAAACU
rnacentral:sRNA from 1 species